CAUGGAUCUGGAGGGCCGACUGUACUAUGUGCUUUUUACAAGCAAAAUGUUAUUGAGGCCAGGCCUGCUACCAUGCUCAUAAUACCAGCAUUUUGAGAGGCCAAGGCCAGAGGAUAGCUUGAGUGCAGGAGAUUGAGACCAGCCUGGGCAACAUAGUGAGACCCUGUCUCUACAAUGACAACAACAUCAACAACAACAACAACAAGUUUUAUUGAAUCUUCACAGCUACCCCCUUAGGCAGGUAUUAUUAGUACUACUUUUCCUAUUUUACAGAUGAAUAAAUUGUAACUAAGAGAAGUGAACUGAUUUCUCCAAGGCUACAGAACUAGGAGGUGGUAGAGCUGGGAUAUGAGGUUUUAGUUUUGUUUUGUUUGUGAGAUGGGGUGUCACUCUGUUGCACAGGGUGGAGUACAGUCAUGUGAUCAUGGCUCAAGUGAUCCUCCUACCUCAGCCUCCCAAGCUGGGACUACAGGUGUGCACCAUCACACAUGGCUAAUUGUUGUAUUUUUUUUGUUUUUUUUUUGUAGAGACAAGGUCUGUUUGUGUUGCCCAGGCUGUUCUUGAACUCCAGGCUCAAGCAAUCCACCAGUAUUGGCCUCGCUAAGUAUUAGGAUUACAGGCAUUAGCCACUAUGCUCAGUCUGCCUUUUUUUUUUUUUUUUUUUUGAGACGGAGUCUCGCUCUGUCGCCCAGGCUGGAGUGCAGCGGCGUGAUCUCGGCUCACUGCAACCUCUGCCUCCCAGGUUCUAGCGAUUCUCCUGCCUCAACCUCCUGAGUGGCUGGGACUACUGGUGCGUGCUACCACGCCCAGCUAAUUUUUGUAUUUUUAGUAGAGACGGGGUUUCAUUAUGUUUGCCAGGAUGGUCUCAAUCUCUUGACCUCAUGAUCCGCCUGCCUUGGCCUCCCAAAGUGUUGGGAUUACUGGCGUGUGCCACCGCACCUGGCCGAGACUGGGCCUGUUUUUGCCUAACAAAUUACCCAAGGCAGCUUUCCAAGGCCAAACAGCACAGUAGGUAAGAUCCUGGCCUCUGGAUUCAGAUGAGCCUGGGUUCAAAUCCUGACUCUGCCUUUCACUAGCUGUGUGAUCCUGGGCAAGGUCCCUUACUCUGUCUGCCUUAAUUUCUUCGUCUGCAAAUAGGAAUGACAGAAGAGUCUCUACCCCUUUCAAAGUGCUGUAAAAAGAUUAAAAGGAGAUGAUAAAUGUAAAAUUCUCAGCACUUAGCAUAUGUUAGAUACUAUUUUAAUAGUUGUGUGGUAUUUGCUUGUUUAAAUCAGUUUCUCGGUGUCUGCAGUACUGACAUUUUGAAUCAGAUAAUUCUUUGUGGUUGGGGCUGUUCUGAGCAAAGGACGCUUAGCAGCAUCCCUGCUCUGUACACAUUGGAUGCCAGCGGCGUCACCCCAACUUGCGACAACAAAAAAUGUCUCCAGACAUUAAAAAUGUCCUAGGGGGUGGAGUGGAGGGAGGCAAAAAUUGUCCUUGGUUGAGAACCACUGCUUUAAAUGUACACAUUUUAAAUAUAUACAUCGGCUGGGUAUGGUGGCUUAUUCCUAUAAUCCCAGCACUUUUGGAGGCCAAGGCAGGAGAAUCAGUUGA
rnacentral:lncRNA from 10 species